rnacentral:tRNA from 1 species
AGCCCAGUGGUCCAAUGGUAAAACGCUCGUUACGGAGCCAGAGGGUCCUCGGUUCGAUCCCCAACGGGGUCG